rnacentral:lncRNA from 1 species
GGCCGCUGGUGUUACUGUGGAGGAGGUUGGAUGCUGUUUGGCAGGGGUCUGAGAUUGGUAGUUCCCGGGCUUCUCUGGGGGACCUAUCUGUCUCGGAUGUGGAUCCUGGAGACACCGAGUGUCUCUGGGGUGGCCUCUCCUCUAGGGUGGCUCGGGCCCCCAGUCCGCUGGCUCCGAGCGUCCGGUCGGUGGACGAAGCCCCAGGGAUUGCUGGGGGCUCGGAGGAGCCGGUUCAGCCACCUCGCCCCGCCCCGCGCCGUAGGCGUAGUGGGCUGGGGGGGGAAGAGCUCUCUCUUUGUGCCUUCCCGGCACUCGGAGGUGAACGGGGUGCCGCAGUUCAGCCCCCGUCUCAGAUUGAGCCGGACUCGGUGACAGUACAUUGUCCGAACUGCGGUGUUACAUUUCCCCUGGAGAGGACACAGGCCAGUUCGCCCGGUUCGGUCUCGGGUUCCUCUUCUGAGGACGCCCCGGCUCCGAUCCCGGAGCCUGCGCAGUCUGCGCAGCCCGCUGGGCAUGCGCAGGCGGUGGGGGCCGCCAAGGGCGGGGCGUUCGUCCCAGUUCCAUCGGGCCCCGCCCCAGCGGGCGGGCAGCCCGCCCCGUCUCACAUGAUGGGGGCGGUACCCGCCGGGAGGCUGCGCGUCAUGGCGCCGGCACUCCUUGGAGGCGUGCUGGACUCUCUUGUGUCCUCCCGUGGGGGUGUGUCUCCGCGGGCCUUGUCUCCUUCUGCGCUGCGUCCUUUCCCCGCCCCGGGAGAGGGGAGCGCUGCGCUGGGGUUGCGGUCGGCGCCGCCGGCAGCGCCCGCCGCGGUGCCCUCUGCUGACGCUGCGGACGGCAACACCGGGGCGCUGGCGGGCUCAGCUCCGCCUUCCCCGACCGCCGCGGGAGCCGGGACUGCGGCGCGGCAGGGCGCUGGGGUGUUCAGUUUUACCGCGACUGCUGACGCGGCCGGCGGAAGACCGGUCACUCCCCGUGGCCGCGGAUCCUCCCCGUCAACUCUGUGGACCCUCCCUGCUUGUCAGGUGACCGUGCGUCCAAAGGACCACGGGCGAUUUUGGAACGAGGUCCGGGAUAAGGCUGAGGAGAUGUGUGACUCUGCCCACCCGCGGAGCCUGCCGGAUCACGGGGAAGGCUCCUUUGUCUCCGCUGAUACUGCAGGGGAUGUGGUAUUCAGUGGUGUGUCACUGUCUC